CAAAGGCAUUGACGGGGGCCCGCACAAGCGGUGGAGCAUGUGGUUUAAUUCGAUGAUACGCGAGGAACCUUACCUGGGCUCAAAUGUAUGUUGACGUAUUCUGAAAGGGAUACUUCUUCGGACAAUAUACAAGGUGCUGCAUGGUUGUCGUCAGCUCGUGCCGUGAGGUGUCGGGUUAAGUCCCAUAACGAGCGCAACCCCUAUCAUUAGUUGCCAUCAGGUAAUGCCGGGCACUCUGGAAGGACUGCCAUCGACAAGAUGGAGGAAGGUGGGGAUGACGUCAAGUCAUCAUGGCCCUUAUGUCCAGGGCGACACACGUGCUACAAUGGCCGGCACAACGGGAAGCGAGUUCGCGAGGACGAGCGGAUCCCUCAAAGCCGGUCGCAGUUCGGAUUGAAGUCUGCAACUCGACUUCAUGAAGCUGGAAUCGCUAGUAAUCGUGGAUCAGCCAAGCCGCGGUGAAUACGUUCCCGGGCCUU
rnacentral:rRNA from 1 species